rnacentral:rRNA from 1 species
UUAAUUGAUUAUGACGUACUUGUACUGAUUGAGAUUUUAACACGAUGCUGUGCUGGCGAGCGGGUUAGUAACACGAGGAGUAACCUGCCCAGAAGUAGGGGAUAACACCUGGCAACAGAUGCUAAUACCGUAUAACAUGAGGAAAACCGCAUGGCUUUUCUUUUAAAAGAUGGCUCUGCUAUCACUUCUGGAUGGACCCGCGGCGUAUUAGCUAGUUGGUGAGGUAAAGGCUCACCAAGGCAGAGAUACGUACUGCGACCUGAGAGGGUAAUCGGCCACAUUGGGACUGAGACACGGAUCCAGACUCCUACGGGAGGCAGCAGUAGGGAAUCUUCCACAAUGGACGCAAGUCUGAUGGAGCAACGCCGCGUGAGUGAAGAAGGGUUUCGGCUCGUAAAGCUCUGUUGUUAAAGAAGAACGUGGGUAAGAGUAACUGUUUACCCAGUGACGGUAUUUAACCAGAAAGCCACGGCUAACUACAUGCCAGCAGCCGCGGUAAUACGUAGGUGGCAAGCGUUAUCCGGAUUUAUUGGGCGUAAAGCGAGCGCAGGCGGUCUUUUAAGUCUAAUGUGAAAGCCUUCGGCUCAACCGAAGAAGUGCAUUGGAAACUGGGAGACUUGAGUGCAGAAGAGGACAGUGGAACUCCAUGUGUAGC